GAUGAACGCUGGCGGCGUGCCUAAUACAUGCAAGUCGAGCGAACGGACGAGAAGCUUGCUUCUCUGAUGUUAGCGGCGGACGGGUGAGUAACACGUGGAUAACCUACCUAUAAGACUGGGAUAACUUCGGGAAACCGGAGCUAAUACCGGAUGAUAUUUUGAACCGCAUGGUUCAAAAGUGAAAGACGGUCUUGCUGGCACUUAUAGAUGGAUCCGCGCUGCAUUAGCUAGUUGGUAAGGUAACGGCUUACCAAGGCAACGAUGCAUAGCCGACCUGAGAGGCUGAUCGGCCACACUGGAACUGAGACACGCACCAGACUCCUACGGUAGGCCGCAGUAGGGAAUCUUCCGCAAUGGUCGAAAGCCUGACGGAGCAACGCCGCGUGAGUGAUGAAGGUGUUCGGAUCGUAAAACUCUGUUAUUAGGGAAGAACAGAUGUGUAAGUAACUGUGCACAUCUUGACGGUACCUAAUCAGAAAGCCACGGCUAACUUCGUG
rnacentral:rRNA from 1 species